UGCUUCUUGUCGGAGUGCCCAGUGUUGAAAAUGAAAAACACGGGCUGAGACCGUUUAUUCGGGAUCCGCGGAACCUGAUCAGGCUAAAACCUGCGAAGGGAACAAGAGUAAUUCGCCA
rnacentral:ncRNA from 2 species